rnacentral:rRNA from 1 species
GACGAACGCUGGCGGCGUGCUUAACACAUGCAAGUGGAGCGACGAACCAGGGCUUGCCCCGGGGCAGAGCCGCGAACGGGUGAGUAAUACGUGGGUAACGUGCCCCGAUGACCGGGACAACCCGAGGAAACUCGGGCUAAUACCGGAUGAGGACCUCUCACAUCAGUGAGUUGUCUAACUGUAGCUUCGGCUUCCGCAUUGGGAGCGGCCCGCGGCCCAUUAGCUUGUUGGUGAGGUAACGGCUUACCAAGGCUUCGAUGGGUAGCUGGUCUGAGAGGACGAUCAGCCACACUGGGACUGAGACACGGCCCAGACUCCUACGGGAGGCAGCAGUGGGGAAUCUUGCGCAAUGCGCGAAAGCGUGACGCAGCAACGCCGCGUGGGGGAAGACGGCCUUCGGGUUGUAAACCCCUUUCAGGAGGGACGAAGGUCACACGGUUAAUAGCCGGCGUGACUGACGGUACCUCCAGAAGAAGCCCCGGCUAACUACGUGCCAGCCGCCGCCGUAA